rnacentral:piRNA from 1 species
CCAUCUUGCAACAGCGAAUGUGAGGGC